rnacentral:rRNA from 1 species
CCUACGGGAGGCUGCAGUGGGGAAUAUUGCACAAUGGGCGCAAGCCUGAUGCAGCCAUGCCGCGUGUGUGAAGAAGGCCUUCGGGUUGUAAAGCACUUUCAGCGGGGAGGAAGGCGGUGAGGUUAAUAACCUCAUCGAUUGACGUUACCCGCAGAAGAAGCACCGGCUAACUCCGUGCCAGCAGCCGCGGUAAUACGGAGGGUGCAAGCGUUAAUCGGAAUUACUGGGCGCAAAGCGCACGCAGGCGGUCUGUCAAGUCGGAUGUGAAAUCCCCGGGCUCAACCUGGGAACUGCAUUCGAAACUGGCAGGCUAGAGUCUUGUAGGGGGGGGUAGAAUUCCAGGUGUAGCGGUGAAAUGCGUAGAGAUCUGGAGGAAUACCGGUGGCGAAGGCGGCCCCCUGGACAAAGACUGACGCUCAGGUGCGAAAGCGUGGGGAGCAAACAGGAUUAGAUACCCCAGUAGUC